rnacentral:rRNA from 1 species
GGGAAAGGAUGUGCGAGUGCACAGACAACCAGGAGGUUGGCUUAGAAGCAGCCAUCCUUGAAAGAGUGCGUAAUAGCUCACUGGUCAAGUGUUCACGCGCCGACAAUCCAACGGGGCUCAAGUCAUAUACCGAAGCUAUGGGAUCCACGCGACUUGGUCGCUGGAUCGGUAGGCGAGCGUUCCCAUGCCGGUGAAGCGGCGGCGUAAGCCAGCCGUGGAGGCGUGGGAAGUGAGAAUGCUGGCAUGAGUAACGAAAGGCGAGUGCGAAACUCGCCCGCCGAAUGCCCAAGGUUUCCUGAGCAAUGUUAAUCAGCUCAGGGUUAGCCGGGUCCUAAGCCGAGGCCGAGAGGCGUAGGCGAUGGAGAACUGGUCAACAUUCCAGUGCCACCACCAAGCGUUUGAGCAAUGGGGUGACGCGGAAAGGUAAGCGGACCGUGGCGUUGGUUGACCACGGACAAGCGUAUAGGGCGGUCCCCAGGGAAAUCCGGGGACCAAUUAAGCCUGAGGCGUGACGUCAGCUGGCUUCUGCCGGCAAGCCGCCGAUCCUAUGCCGCCAAGAAAAACCUCUAGCGAGCUUAGGUGUGUGCCCGUACCAAAACCGACACAGGUGGGCAGGUAGAGAAUACCAAGGCGAUCGGGAGAACUAUGGCUAAGGAACUCGGCAAAAUAGCUCCGUAACUUCGGGAGAAGGGGCGCCUCGUUAGGGUGAAAGAAUUGACUUCUCGAGCCCGAGGAGGCCGCAGAGUCCAGGCCCAAGCGACUGUUUACCAAAAACACAGGUCUCUGCUAAGUCGAAAGACGAUGUAUAGGGGCUGACGCCUGCCCGGUGCCGGAAGGUUAAGUGGAGGUGUUAGCCGCAAGGCGAAGCACUGAAAUUAAGCCCCGGUAAACGGCGGCCGUAACUAUAACGGUCCUAAGGUAGCGAAAUUCCUUGUCGGGUAAGUUCCGACCUGCACGAAUGGCGUAACGAUUUGGGCACUGUCUCAGCCAUAGACCCGGUGAAAUUGUAGUAUCGGUGAAGAUGCCGAUUACCCGCGACAAGACGGGAAGACCCCGUGAACCUUUACUGCAGCUUGAUAUUGGAGCUUGGUGCACUUUGUCCAGGAUAGGUGGGAGGCUGUGAAGCGCGGACGCUAGUUCGCGUGGAGCCAACCUUGGGAUACCACCCUUAGUGUAUUGGGCUUCUAACGGUAGGCCGUGAUCCGGCUACCGGACAGUGUCUGGCAGGCAGUUUGACUGGGGCGGUCGCCUCCUAAAAUGUAACGGAGGCGCGCAAAGGUUCCCUCAGCACGGUCGGCAAUCGUGCGUAGAGUGUAAAGGCAUAAGGGAGCUUGACUGCGAGACCUACAAGUCGAGCAGGUGCGAAAGCAGGCCUUAGUGAUCCGGCGGUAGCAAGUGGAAGCGCCGUCGCUCAACGGAUAAAAGGUACUCCGGGGAUAACAGGCUUAUCCUCCCCAAGAGUCCACAUCGACGGGAGGGUUUGGCACCUCGAUGUCGGCUCAUCGCAUCCUGGGGCUGGAGUAGGUCCCAAGGGUUGGGCUGUUCGCCCAUUAAAGCGGUACGCGAGCUGGGUU